UGUUUCCCAGUCUAUACUGGGGGACAUAUUGUUUUUGCCCUGUCUGUUUGUUGGUUUGUUUGUUGGUUUGUUGGUUUGCGUCAAACUUUAACAUUGGCUAUAACUUUUACAAUAUUGAAGAUAGCAACUUCAUAUUUGGCAUGCAUGUGUAUCUCAUGGAGCUGCACAUUUUGAGUGGCGAAAGGUCAAGGUCAUCCUUCAAGGUCAAAGGUCAAAUAUAUGGGGGGACAUAGUGUUUCACAAACACAUCUUGUUGGUCCAUGGAUUUUGCCAAAAGAGGACAUAAGCAUGUAAACAAAAAGGCUGAUAGUCCUCUUGGGCUUUAAAUGAACAUUUAGCUCCUUAAAAAUCCUUGCAUACUUGCUUAUAAAUAUUUUUUAAUAUUUAAAUCCUGUAGCCGUCACCAAAAACAUUGGGAAACAAUUACUUUUGUUACCUUUUGGUAAUAUUAUUAUGUGGCUUUUUGAAAAACGCUCUUUGUUUUUGUGUUAAAGGACCAAAGUAAGCUUAAUGUUACUACUGUCCACCCAAGGUUUAGAUAGGCACAUGUCAUCAUUACAGUGAAGCCUGUUUAUUAUGCCCCCCUUCGAAGAAGAGGGGGUAUAUUGCUUUGCACAUGUCGGUCGGUCGGUCUGUGUUUUCCGGAUGAUAACUCAAGAACGCUUGGUUCUAGGAUCAAGAAACUUGAUAGGUAGAUUGAUCAUGACUCACAGAUGACCCCUAUUGAUUUUCAGGUCAUUAGGUCAAAGGUCAAGGUCACGGUGACCCAAAAAUAGUAAAAUGGUUUCCGGAUGAUAACUCAAGAACGCUUAUGCCUAGAAUCAUGAAACUUGAUAGGUAGAUUGACCAUGACUCGCAGAUGACCCCUAUUCAUUUUCAGGUCACUAGGUCAAAGGUCAAGGUCACGGUAACCCGAAAUAGUAAAAUGGUUUCCGGAUGAUAAAUCAAGAACGCUUAUGCCUAGGAUCAUGAAACUUGAUAGGUAGAUUGAUCUUGACUGGCAGAUGACCCCUAGAGAUUUUCAGGUCACUAGGUCAAAGGUCAAGGUCACGGUGACCCGAAAUAGUAAAAUGGUUUCCGGAUGAUAACUCAAGAACGCUUAUGCCUAGGAUCAUGAAACUUGAUAGGUAGAUUGAUCAUGACUCGCAGUUGACCCCUAUUGAUUUUCAGGUCACUAGGUCAAAGGUCAAGGUCACGGUGACCCGAAAUAGUAAAAUGGUUUCCGGAUGAUAACUCAAGAACGCUUAUGCCUAGGAUCAUGAAACUUCAUAGGUACAUUGAUCAUGACUCGCAGAUGACCCCUAUUGAUUUUCAGGUCACUAGGUCAAAGGUCAAGGUCACGGUGACCCGAAAUAGUAAAAUGGUUUCCGGAUGAUAACUCAAGAACGCUUAUGCCUAGGAUCAUGAAACUUGAUAGGUAGAUUGAUCAUGACUCGCAGAUGACCCCC